CGGAAAGUCACAUUAAUUAUUCAUCUGCAAACAUUUACAUAGACUUAUCUGUUCAUCUUCAAUAAAUUAUCAACUUCACAUCUCCAUAAUUUAAUCAAAGUGUCCUUCUACUGCUGUAUCUACCCUUAGAAGGGAAAAAACCCAAACCCAGUCCAAACCAACCAAUCAACCAACAAAAAGAACAAAGAAAGAACAAAACCCAACAUAAGCUCUAAAGAUUGAUAAUUGAAUUCUAUACACC
rnacentral:lncRNA from 1 species